rnacentral:rRNA from 1 species
GACGAACGCUGGCGGCGUGCUUAACACAUGCAAGUCGAACGGAAAGGCCCUGCUUGCGUGGGGUGCCCGAGUGGCGAAGGGGUGAGUAACACGAGAGUAACCUGCCCUUGACUUUGGGAUAACUUCAGGAAACUGGGGCUAAUACCGGAUAGGAUCUCCUGCUGCAGGGUGGGGGUGGGAAAGUUUCGGCGGUUGUGGAUGGACGCGCGGCUGAUGAGCUUGCUGGUGGGGUAGUGGCUUACCAAGGCUUUGACGGGUAGCCGGCCUGAGAGCGUGACCGGCCACAUUAGGACUGAGAUACGGCGCAGACUCCUACGGGAGGCAGCAGUGGGGAAUAUUGCACAAUGAGCGGAAGCCUGAUGCAGCGGCGCCGCGUGCGGGAUGACGGCUUUCGGGUUGUGAACCGCUGUCGCCUGAGACGAAGCGGGAGUGACGGUAAUGGGUAAAGAAGCACCGGCUAACUACGUG